rnacentral:lncRNA from 1 species
CUGAUAUAUUUAUUUUUGCAUGGAUAACGUGCCUGAUGAUAGAAGACUGUAUUUAUUCUGUCAAUUUGUGAAUAUAAAACACUAUGGACUAGUUACAUAGAUGUUGUUCACUAGAAUAUAUCAGGCAAAGAUUUUGAAUGUAGAUACCAAGCACCGCAGGUAACAGGUGUGCUGGAAACAUGUUAAUUGAUGGCCCUCCUAGUGUAAAUGCAUGGUGAGAGAUCAUGAUUAUUGUACAUUUCCUGUGGUGCUGCAGAGGAAAUAUAGGUUUAAGUGCAACUGCAAAGAUUCUGACAUAGUGAAAUGCUUGAAGAAAAAGUAAGCUUUUUGGUACACUUAUCAAAAGAAAAGUAAGCUUUUUUGUGUACCUAAAGAACAAAGCACUAUUUAUGUGAAAGCAAAAGCUGAUUGCCGUUGGUCAUAUUGGUCAAAGUUCUAUUGAGGAAUUUGUCAGUUAACUGGAGUUUUUAACAUCAGAGCUUAGCUACUCUAUCCAUAAACUCAUGAUCAUGCAUGAGAAACCGUGAGGGCGUAGCUGCUGCCAAACUCCGAAGAUGAUGUGACAAGAGACCAAAUUUCAUCAACAACACCCUGAGAGGAGCCGGUCGGCCAAAGGGAACAGCAGGGGAAACCCCUACCACUUAACGCAGAAAAUGCUUAUAACAGCUCCGCUCCACCUCUACAUUUGCCACAUCUGCUGCAAAAUACUUCAUCAGGCUGAAAGGCGAGAGUUUCGCUGUUGUUGCUUAGGCCCGAGUGCAAUAGUGCGAUUUCGGCUCACCGCAACUUCCGCCUCCCAGGUUCAAGCGAUUCUCCUACCUCAGCCUCCUGAGUAGCUGGGAUGAUAGGCGUGAGCCACUGCACCCGGCCAAAGUCUAUAUUGUCUGGUAUAAUUGUAGACACUCAUGCUCUCUUUUGGUUAUCGUUUGCAUAAAGUAUUUUCUUUCACUCCAUCACUUUCAGUGUAUAUGUGUCCUUAAAGCUUAAGUGAGUCUUGUAUAGGCAGCAUAUUGUCAGAUAUAGUUUUUAAUAAUCUAUUCAGCAAUUAUAUAUCUUUGAUUAGAUAAUUUAAUUCACUUAUAUUUAAAAUAAUUGUUGAUAGGUAAGAAUUUGCUAUUGGCAUUUUUGUUAGUUGCUUUUGUAUUGCUUUGCUUUUCUUUUCCUCCUCUUACUGUCUUCCUUUGCAACUUAAUGAUUUUCCCCAAUGGUAUGCUUUGAUUCCUUUAUAUUUGUCUUCUAUGUAUCUACUACAGCUUUUUUCUUUGUGGUUACCAUGAGGAUUACAUAAAUAUCUCAUAGUUUAAAAAAAGUAUAUUUUAAGCUGGUAAGAACAUAAUUCUACCACAUACAAAACUAUACUUUUAUAAAUGACCAAAAAGUGUAUGAGAAAGUGUUCAACAUCACUAAUCAACAGAGAAAUACAAAUCAAAACCAAUAUGAGGUGUCACUUCACACCUGUUAGGAUGGCUGUUAUCAAAAAGACAGAAGAUUACAAGUAUUGGUGAAAAUGUGGAGAAAAGGGAAUCCUUGUACACUAUUGGGGAGGGGGCAUUUUACAUUGGUAUAGCUAUUGUGAAAAACAGUGUGAAGUUUCCUCAAAAAAUAAAAAUUAGAACUACCAUAUGAUUUGACAAUUCCACCCCUGGAUAUAUAU